GUCUACGGCCAUGCCACCUUGAACAAGCCCGAUCCCAUCUGAUCUCGGAAGCUAAGCAGGGUCGGGCCUGGUUAGUACUUGGAUGGAAGACCAGGUGCUGUAGGCA
rnacentral:rRNA from 1 species